rnacentral:misc_RNA from 1 species
CAGAACCGUUGACACGAGCUGUUGCUGGCCCUCAAAGGGGGCACGUGCACGCUCUGUUACACAUCCACUCACACCUGUGCACCCUCUGUAGUUCUAUGGCCUUGGGGACCUUGUCCCCUUGCUGUGGUCCUACGUCUUUACACACACACCGUAACAAAGUCUCAUGGAAUGUAUGUCGCGUUUAACGCAAUACAAUA